AAACAAAGAGAAUGGUGGCUGUGAUGUAUCUCACAUACAAUUCUCUUCUAUGUAUAUCACAGUGGCUGUUCUUUUUGUUU
rnacentral:pre_miRNA from 1 species